GACGUAGGGCGCAAGCGUUGUCCGGAAUUAUUGGGCGUAAAGAGCUCGUAGGCGGCUUGUUGCGUCGACUGUGAAAACCCGUGGCUCAACCAUGUGGUCUGCAGUCGAUACGGGCAGGCUAGAAUUCGGUAGGGGAGACUGGAAUUCCUGGUGUAGCGGUGAAAUGCGCAGAUAUCAGGAGGAACACCGGUGGCGAAGGCGGGUUUCUGGGCCGUAACUGACGCUGAGGGGCGAAAGCGUGGGGAGCGAACAGG
rnacentral:rRNA from 1 species